GUCCAGCUGACGAACCAUGUAGUUUUUACACUGCCUUGUUAAUUAAUGUUAUCUUUAAGGGGGUGUGUUGUGUUCGAUGCCCUGAAGUCAAUUGUCAGUAUGGUUUAUUCGUGAGUUUGAUUGCGCGACUAAGGGUGCUUCAAAAUGGAGUUGAGCAGAAGGAAAGUCCCUCUCUAUGGCCAGGCUAAGGUGUUUGCAUUAUUGGAGGGGCUGGAUUCAAAGCUGGAAGAUACUGAAGUCUACAUUGUUCUAGAAGGAUCUACAUUGGUGCAUGUCACCAAGGCUCAGAGUGACGUCAUGCUCUACUUCAUAGUGCCUGGACAUAACCUCGCUGAGGUGGUCUCUGUUCAGGCCUAUCUCUGCUCCGAAACCACGCCUCUCACCUGGGUGGGCGGAGCAAUGUUGGAGUAUAUUCAAGAUGAUGCUCAGGAUCUGGCUGAGUAUUUGGUUACGCAUAGUGUGUGCUCAAUGGAUCACACAGAGUUGAGCAGCCUCUUCAACCUGGGACAACAGCGCAGCAGCUGGGCUAUGGAUCGACGUGUAGCCCUCGCCAUGGCCAACCUGGAUAUACCUCCAAACUGGAAUAUACUGGGGAGCCCCAGUAGAGAUGAUCACAGCCCUAAAGAGUCUCUUCUCCACCUUGCCGUGCGAUGGGGUCUGUGUCGACUGGCCGAGUUACUGCUUUGUCAGCCAGGGGGUCUGAUGGCUAUCCGUCUUCCAAACAAGGAGGGAGUCACGCCGCUGCAGCUGGCACACUCAUCAGGCAACAGCGAACUGCUGGAGCUCCUCAUGCUCCCACCCAACCCUCUAGCCACACCUCCUGCAGGACUAUCUCAGGUGUGGGCAGACCGAUCUCGCUUGCUCAGGUACUGUCAUGAUACGGGAAAUCUGACGCUGACUGUCCGGCAAAACCUGAAAUGGAGCUCGGAGGAUAGUCGCCAUGCUGACAUCCUGUUGCUCAGAAGAAAAAUUAGAGAUGCCAACUUCCUCAGAGAGGUUAAAGCACUAAGAAGAGAUCACACUGAGACGUUUUUUGGCAAAGAACAAUUGGUGGAUGAUCCUGCAGAAAAUGGACGUUUUCCUGCUGUCAAUGGAGUAAAUUUAAGCGCAGAUGAUAAAGACUACGAAGAACCGCUAAUGUUUUGCCUGAAUCAGGAAGACCAAGAGGGCGAGCUGUUACAGUCUGACUGCGAAAAGAGCCAGUCGAUUGGAGAAAGCCAGGCCUCAUCCCCGACUCUGGCUGCUGCUGCCAGGCUGUCAGCGAUGAUUCACGGCAAAGAUAGAGGUUAUGCCAACGCCAUGCUAGUAGACCAGGUGGAUGACAUUGACAUGAAAUACCGCUCUCGCCCAGCACCUGAUGUUGGCAGCCCCUGCUGGGACUCGCUCUCCAUUUCGCUCACUGACUCUAUGACCUAUCCCAAAAAUCAGCCCCCACCUUCAACCCAAAACCCAGGCCUGGAGAAUUCCAAAGAACUGCCCCAUCAGGUCUCUCCCUCUUCUCCUUUUGCUACCACCCCAUCUUUCCCAUCCUCCCCCAUGGCUUCUGCCUUCCAUUUGUUCGAGGGAGGACAAAAGCGACACACACCAUCCGGCCUUCCAGUCUCUCCUAACUUGAACCACAGAGGAUGCAACUUGACAGUGGCUAACCGUGGACUGAGCCCAAGCCUUGAGUGUGACAGUGUAGAAGAGGACAUACUGGGACAUUCCUAUCCAUGCUCAACUAUGAAGCUGCAGUCCAGCUCCCCAGACUUUAACCACUCCCACUCUGACAGCCCGCACAAGUCCAUUAAGAACCCAGAAGACGCUGAGGUCCGUCUACGCUCGUAUUCAUACUCCUCCCCCAAGGCAAGGCCAUCACGCCCAUUGCUAAACAGAGAUGCUACCAUCACUGACCUGGCAGAAGCAUUAAGGACCGAAUUAUCCUAUGUAGAUGGUGCAUUCAGCAGUGGUCGAUCUCUACUUCAAGCUUUAUCCCUCUCUAAAUCGCUAUCUCGACUUCACCAAGUUAAGCAGAGCGUGCUGAGCCUGACAGAGACUUCUAAAGAAAAGAGGAUUGAAGAUGAGGAAUGGGACAAAUACAUAAUCCCAUCAAAAGUCGAGUCGGAGAAGUACAAAGUGAGCCGGACCUUUAGUUUCCUCAAGAGCAGGAUGUCGAGCACUCGUAACAAAACAAAGGUGAAAGGGAAAGAGCUAAAGGAUGGAAAGGAGAAGACAGUAGCCACCAAUGGGCACCAGUUUGUUCCUCCAUCUCCAUCUGGUCCUACUGCAUGUGUGGCCUGUGAUAAGUCUGUUUCUGGGAAGGAGCUGCUGCAGUGCUCCAAUUGCUUCCUAAACGUUCACAAGAACUGUCGAGAGUCUGUAUCCCCAUGCGGAAAGAAGCUGCAGGAGAGGAAUGCAUUACUGAUGAAAAGCAAGACCGUGUCUCUCCCACAGACCUCUGUAAAAGACAACACUUCUUCCUACCCACUGGCGUCCUCAUCAGUUUGUACAUCUUCCUCACCUACAAUGACAACCAAAGACAAGAAAGAAACACUCACCCCUCUGUCCAGAAGCCUCUCUGUCUCUAUAGAGAGCAGACGCCUGAGUGACACGGCAGGGGUGGAGGUUGAUGCCAUUGCGACGUCUUACAUUAACAGCUCCCUAUCUGAUGAGGGAACUCCAGUUACGGUGACUCUUCCUCCAUUGGACCCGCCAAUCACCUCACAGGAUGCUGUAGAAGCUCCACUACUGAGUGAUCUGUCAGCUGACCUGCUGGGACUGCAUACAGAGUCAUGGAGUCUCACUGUUAGCCCAGAGUUCUGCCGGCAGCACGACAGACGCACCAUCAAGAGGCAGGAUGUAAUUUAUGAACUAAUGCAGACGGAGCUGCACCACAUCCAAACACUGACAGUCAUGUCCGAAGUAUUCCGAAGAGGCAUGCUGGAGGAGCUGCAGUUAGAUUGGGAUUGUGUGGCCCGGAUAUUCCCAUGCUUGGAUUCACUGUUGCUCUUCCACAGGAACCUAUUUGGGUCUCUGCAAGAGUGCAGACAGGCUUCCACCCAACUUGAGAACCAGAGAAAUUACCUCAUACACCAAAUUGGAGACAUCUUGCUUCACCAGUGGCUUUCUCAGUUCUCAGAUGAAAAUGCAGAGAAGAUGAAACAAGUAUAUGGUGACUUCUGCAGCCACCACAUGGAAGCUGUCAACGUCUUCAAAGAGCUUCAGCAGCAGAACAAGAAACUCCAAAACUUUGUCAAACAACAGAGUAAUAACUCACUAGUCAGGCGAAGAGGAGUUCCAGAAUUCAUCCUUUUAGUCACCCAGCGAAUCACCAAGUACCCAGUGUUGUUGGAGAGGAUAUUACAUUACACCCAAGAAGGAAGUCAAGAACACGCUGACUUGUCAAGUGCUCUGGCUCAGAUCCGUGACAUUAUUGCAGCAGUGGACCUGACAGUAAGCAAAUACGAGAAAUGUCAGGAACUGCAGGAAGUGCUUGUCCGGCUUGAGAAUAAGAGCUUUGCCAAACUAAAGAAUGGCAAGGUGAUUCGCAAGCAAGAGCUGCACAGCAAACACAGAGAGCUACAGAAUAAGGGGCUGCUGUACUGGAAGACUGCCACAGGGCGCCUUAAAGAUACACUAGCCCUCCUACUCACAGAUGUUUUGGUUUUCCUGCAAGAGAAAGAUCAACGCUUUGUAUUUGCAGCAGUGGACCAGAAGCCUCCAGUGAUCCCACUGCAGAAGCUCAUUGUUAGAGAAGUAGCCAAUGAGGAGCGAGGGAUGUUCCUAAUCUCUGCUUCUUCUGCCGGGCCGGAGAUGUAUGAAAUUCACGCCACCACCAGAGAAGAGAGAAACGCUUGGAUGAAACAUAUACGACAAGCUGUGGAGAGUUGUCCAGAGGAAGAGGAGGAGGAGGAGCAGGGUGCCGAAUUAGAGGAGGCUAAGCGAGCAGCAGAAGCGAAGGUUCAGAAAAUCUCAAAGUUUCGAGAGACAUUGUUAGGUCAGGAUCAACGCAUCUGCAACAGCUUGGAGGAGAAGUUACAGUUGUAUGCUGAGCUCACCCACUUAAGCUUGCGCUCUCCUGAAGCCAUACCACAUCGCCAUCUGCUGGUACAACCACACAUUGACAGGGAUUCUCCAAGACGGGCCUCGACACUGCUCACAGCCGCACUCAGAGAAGCGGAGAACCUGAUUACCUUUCUGCAGGCUAAUGAUGGCCUUCCUGUGCGAUCUGGGGACUCUCCGAUCCAUGGGCCAGAGGGCUGCAGCUACAAUAGUCACGGCAACAGCAUCCAAGAUUCUCCCUCUGAGCCGGAUUACCUGAGCACACUCAGUAUAAGCUCCACUUCUCUGGGAUCAGACAGUGAGGGGACAGACGGUAUGUUGUGGAGCUCUGCUACAACACCAAAGAAAGGAGACACCAAAGAAACACUCUUCAAGGUGGCAGAGAGUGUCCAGAGUCUGACCCAGCUUCUUUAUAGUCUGCAGGCAACAGUGACCCUUCAGGACAGCUGUCUCGAGAUCCAAAAAAUUCUCCUUCAUGGGGGAGACAAAUCUCAGCUUAAAACCCUCACUUCCCUCCAAAACACCCUGGAUCAGGAGAGGCAGAAAGGCACUGAUAAGAAGAAAGAGGAAGUUGAGAAGAAGAGUUUAGAGAGGAAGAAGGAGGAGGUGGAUGAGGUGCAGAAACUACACGUGAAGCUGAAGCACCAACAGCAGCGCUGGGACAAAGAGUGUCUGGCCAGAGAGAAACAACAGAGUGAACAAGAAAGCGCACUGGAGCAGCGUGAGCAUCGCUGCAUCCUGGAGGCAGAGAGGCUGCGCUACGAGAGAGAGGAGUUGGAGGCUCAGAUGCUGGAGUAUCGCAGCAAUCUGGACCGACUCCGCUACGGUCAGAAGAGCGUAGACCGAGAGAAGGAGAAGAUCGAAGUCCAGCAGAGGCUCCUCCAGAGCUGGAGACACAACCGGCAGAGCAGCCUACCAGUUACCAUUCCACUGGAUGGAUACAAGGUGUCGAGUCACAGUCGCUCAGGCAGCUUGGACACCAACUGUUGGACGUAUGAGAAUGACGGAGCUCUGCUGGCGUCCCUCCAAAAGACCCAGGCCGCCCACAACAACAACAACCCGCACCAGUAUCUGCGCUCGACCCCGAGGCACAACCAUGACGUCGCCAGCUACGGGGCGGACCUCAGCCUCAGCGCCAGCCUCUACAACAGCCUCAAUGCCCUACUGAGCCAGGCGCACGGAAAACAACCACAGGACUGCCUGGCGCACACAAACUACUCGAAGAACAACGGUUGCAGCCGUCCUCUGAAGGAGUCUGUGCAUCCCUUCAGCAGCAGAGUCCCAGCGCAGCCACAGACCACCAGCAAGCACUUCAGUCCACAGUUGGACCGCCAUUCCCCGGGGGCCUGGAGGCCGGAGGUCACAAGUCAAGAACAUUACGAAAAUAACUACUGCUCCUCUCCCUCCCUUACCCCACUCCUGUCCCCACAGUCCUACCUCUCUCUCGAAGGACAUCUCAGAGAGGAUGGAGGCGAGGAGAACAUUGUUUACCUCUGAUGAAGCUUUUUAACAUAAAACUGUGGAUAAUCAUGAGGGAAUAUGUACUGUAUAUCUGCUUGUAUUGGCGUUUGUGGCGACUCCGUGUUGUGCCUUUUCUUUCCAAACUUUGAAACUACCUGUAAUGACUUUUGUCAGCUGGUUGGAGACGGAUGAUUAGAAAAGUACUCGUGAUAUUUUCCUUUCGCACUUAAUAUGCAGCACCUGUCUAAUGUUUGGAAACACGUUCUCUUUCAAUAGAAUGCAAAACUGUUUCCAAACUUUGGACUGGAACUAUGAAUAUAAAUAAUUUAUGGGGAAAGACAAAAUAGCCAUUUCUCGAGCUAUAUGUACAGCCGUAAUGUCUCUCCUAAAGAGUGUCAUCUUACUGCCAUGUGAUCUUAAAUAUUAUUUAUUAUAAUGCAAGGAAAAAUGGCUAUACAUGUGUGGAUAUAAGUAUUGUAUGUGUUGAAAGGGCUACAGUAUGCACACUCUUCCCUUUCUCAGUGAAGUGCCAUAAUCCUCCCCUCCGCCUCCUUUUAAGUUGGUAAUUUAUUACGUGUCAAAGGUUUCAUGCACUGUACACAAUGUUUGGUUUCUUCCCUUGUAAUCGUUGUUAUGUAUUAAUGCUCAUGUGGCUCAUAAAGGUGGUUGUGUGCAAAAAAACUGUACUCUGGGAUACCGCAUUGUAUUAGUUGAGUUCACUGGCUUAAUAAUGAUUCAGAACGGCCCUUUUCAUACUACCUGGUGUCUUUGUCAGUACACUACAGUGAGUACACUGAUACAUUUGAUAGUAUUCUGUCUUGUUGCUUAGUGUUUCUUUUUGUUGUCAUUUUAAGCAGAGCAUCAGUCCCCUGAAGGCCAUAUGCUGUAAACCACAGCUCCUAAGUAGAAAUCCAAAUAAGACACAUUAAAGACCAUAAACACAAUGUUUCAGUGAGUGUUUCUUAGCACCUCUCCGAAAGGCAAGAAAUCUCUGCAGUGUAACCUCAACAAUGGCCACAGUCUCGCGCACCUGUUUGUCAUAACGUGGACUGUGAGGGUUUUGUUUUCCCGAGAUGCAAGUAAAGUUGGACUGGACAUGG